rnacentral:rRNA from 1 species
GACGAACGCUGGCGGCGUGCUUAACACAUGCAAGUCGAACGGAAAGGCCCUGCUUUUGUGGGGUGCUCGAGUGGCGAACGGGUGAGUAACACGUGAGUAACCUGCCCUUGACUUUGGGAUAACUUCAGGAAACUGGGGCUAAUACCGGAUAGGAGCUCCUGCUGCAUGGUGGGGGUUGGAAAGUUUCGGCGGUUGGGGAUGGACUCGCGGCUUAGCAGCUUGUUGGUGGGGUAGUGGCUUACCAAGGCUUUGACGCGUAGCCGGCCUGAGAGGGUGACCGGCCACAUUGGGACUGAGAUACGGCCCAGACUCCUACGGGAGGCAGCAGUGGGGAAUAUUGCACAAUGGGCGGAAGCCUGAUGCAGCAACGCCGCGUGCGGGAUGACGGCCUUCGGGUUGUAAACCGCUUUCGCCUGUGACGAAGCGUGAGUGACGGUAAUGGGUAAAGAAGCACCGGCUAACUACGUG